rnacentral:misc_RNA from 1 species
AACGCACAUUGCGCCUCUUGGUAUUCCGAGGGGCAUGUCUGUUUGAGCGUCAGUACACACCUCCCGAGCAUCUUUUUGCGAAGGGCUCUGGGACGGUCGGCCUGAGACACGGCCCUCCUCCCUAAUGUGGCACGCUUGCGGACCUCCAGUUCAGCAGUCAACGUAGUAAACUUAAACGCUCGUGGAAAGCUGGUGGAAGGGCUCGCCUGAAUCAAACUCUCUUAUGGUUUGACCUCAGAUCAGACAAGGAUACCCGCUGAACUUAA